GAUUCCUGGAGAAGCUGCAGUGUGGGGAUGCUCUGACCGAGUUCAGCCCCCAGUGUCUUUCCUCCUCCUCCUCCUGCAGCGACAGCAUCCGCAGUUAGCAGUGGGCAACUUGAGGCUGUAACCGGGGCAAGCCCCCAGGGUCCUGCUCACCCAACAGGGGGCUCAGGUCCCCGAAGGGGUGUGUGCAGGGCGGGGGCGGCCAGCUGGGACCAGCUGGUGGCCCUAGAAAACCUCACCCACACCCACACCCACACACCCCUUUUGUGUUGCAGGCUGCCCCUCUGAGAGCGGAGGCAGCGAGAGAGUACUCGUGUGCCUCGCACCGGUCCGCGGUGAGAGCAGCGGGGACCAAGACUCGCACCAUCUCCCGGUCGGUCCUCGCUCCAGGAAAAGAAGACUUUGGCGCGCUCGAACAACCAACAUCCGCAGUCUGAUCAGAAGACAUUGCCCUUGCCGUCCCGAGAGCUCCAGCAGAACAUCUCGUUAAGAUUGAAGAAAGGAGAUUCC
rnacentral:lncRNA from 1 species